rnacentral:misc_RNA from 1 species
GAAAUGCGAUAAGUAGUGUGAAUUGCAGAAUUUAGUGAAUUAUUGAAUCUUUGAACGCACAUUGCGCCCUUUGGUAUUCCUUAGGGCAUGCCUGUUUGAGCGUCAUUUAACCCCUCAAGCUUAGCUUGGUGUUAGGCGUCUGUCCCCCCCACGUCGUGGGCGGGGACUCGCCUUAAAUCGAUUGGCGGCUGGUACGUUGGCUUCGAGCGCAGCAGAAACGCGAACUUGGGCCCUAGCGAGCUGGCUCCUAUAAGCUACUACUCCUAGUUUUGACCUUGGAUUAGGUAGGGAUACCCGCUGAACUUAA